rnacentral:sRNA from 1 species
AUGUAUCACUCGUACAAGGCGGUUCCUCCGCGCUAUCCGCACUCACCUGGAGACUGCUCGCUACGUUUUGUCAGCC